GUUUUUUGCGAUAAAAGCCAAAAAAUGAAUUUGACCCCUAUGUUCUAUUUUUAGUCAUAGCGGCCAUGUUUGUCGAUGGAUCUAAACUUCGGAUACAAUUCAUAAACAAGAUACCCUAAGGAACAUUUAGUUAAAGUUUAAAGGUAUUUGGCACCGUAGUUUCAGAGAAGAUUUUUUAAAUAGUUUACAACGACAGCCGUCGGACGACAACGGACGCCAAGUGAUGGCAUAGACUCAUAUGGGGCCCUUUGGGCCCGUUGAGUUAAAAAUGGUAUAAAUAUAAAUAAUUAAGAAAUAAACGCUAAUAUAUAAAAAAGAGAAAAAAGCAGAUAACCAAAAAGAUUAAGAGAGGGGCGAAAGAUACCAGAGGGACAUUCAAACUCAUAAAUAGAAAAUAAACUGACAACGGCAUGGCUAAAAAGGAAAAAGACAAACAGCCAAACAAUAGUAUGCAAAACACCACUUUGAAAAAUAAAGACUAAGCAACACAAACC
rnacentral:lncRNA from 1 species